GCUGGUGUAGCUCAGCAGGUAGAGCACCUCCUUGGUAAGGAGGAGGUCCUGGGUUCAAUUCCCAGCACCAGCUCCA
rnacentral:tRNA from 1 species